AGUGAACGCUGGCGGUAGGCCUAACACAUGCAAGUCGAACGGCAGCACAGUAAGAGCUUGCUCUUACGGGUGGCGAGUGGCGGAUGGGUGAGGCAUACAUCGGAAUCUUCUUUUUCGUGGGGGAUAACGUAGGGAAACUUACGCUACUACCGAAUACGACCUACGGGUGAAAGCAGGGGAUCUUCGGACCUUGCCCGAUUCAAUGAGCCGAUGCCGGAUUAGCUAGUUGGCGGGGUAAAGGCACACCAAGGCGACGAUACGUAGCUGGUCUGAGAGGAUGAUCAGCCACACUGGAACUGAGACACGGUCCAGACUCCUACGGGAGGCAGCAGUGGGGAAUAUUGGACAAUGGGCGCAAGCCUGAUCCAGCCAUACCGCGUGGGUGAAGAAGGCCUUCGGGUUGUAAAGCCCUUUUGUUGGGAAAGAAAAGCAGCAUGUUAAUACCCCGCUGUUCUGACGGUACCCAAAGAGUAAGCACCGGCUAACUUCGUG
rnacentral:rRNA from 1 species